GACAUGUCUCUUAGGAGGAGUAACGUGAAGCUCAGAAUUAUGGAUGUAUUAAAUACUCCCCAAUAAAAGUGGAAUUGGUCUAUGGUCGAUUCAGUAACAAAUAACUAGGAAUUUCUAGUUGUACCUCGUGAAAACGGACUUCUUUCUUUUUUUUUUUCUUUUGUGGAAUUAAUCAUUUCCUUUCUUUUUAUUUUAGAUUAUUUUAGAAAAAAAUUAUGUUUAUACUCAAGUAAGUAAAUAUGUCAUGGUUGCGAGAGUCUAUACAUCGCAUAUAGGCUUUAAUAGCAUCAUAGCAUAACCGUCGAGGUCAAGUCGAGUUCGGGACCUAAAAGAUCGAAUGGAAGAAGACAUAGAC
rnacentral:lncRNA from 1 species